UACGGGAGGCAGCAGUGGGGAAUAUUGCACAAUGGGCGCAAGCCUGAUGCAGCGACGCCGCGUGAGGGAUGACGGCCUUCGGGUUGUAAACCUCUUUCAGUAGGGAAGAAGGGAAAGUGACGGUACCUGCAGAAGAAGCGCCGGCUAAAUACGUGCCAGCAGCCGCGGUAAUAAGUAGGGGGCGAGCGUUUUCUGGAAUUAUUGGGGGUAAAGAGCUCGUAGGCGGUUUGUCGCGUUUUCCGUGAAAAUCCCCGGGGCUCAACUCCGGGUGUGCGGUGGGUAAGGGCAGACUAGAGUGAUGUAGGGGAGACGGGAAUUCCUGGUGUAGCGGUGAAAAGCGCAGAUAUCAGGAGGAACACCGAUGGGGAAGGGGGGUCUCCGGGCAUUAACUGACGCUGAGGAGGGAAAACAUGGGGAGGGAACAGGAUUAGAUACCCCCGUAGUCCAUCCCGUAAACGUUGGGCACUAGGUGUGGGGGACAUUCCACGUUUUCGGUGCCGCAGCUAACGCAUAAGU
rnacentral:rRNA from 1 species